GAUGAACGCCGGCGGUGUGCCUAAUACAUGCAAGUCGAGCGAGCUUGCCUAGAUGAUUUUAGUGCUUGCACUAAAUGAAACUAGAUACAAGCGAGCGGCGGACGGGUGAGUAACACGUGGGUAACCUGCCCAAGAGACUGGGAUAACACCUGGAAACAGAUGCUAAUACCGGAUAACAACACUAGACGCAUGUCUAGAGUUUGAAAGAUGGUUCUGCUAUCACUCUUGGAUGGACCUGCGGUGCAUUAGCUAGUUGGUAAGGUAACGGCUUACCAAGGCAAUGAUGCAUAGCCGAGUUGAGAGACUGAUCGGCCACAUUGGGACUGAGACACGGCCCAA
rnacentral:rRNA from 1 species